rnacentral:rRNA from 1 species
CAUGAUACAGUGUGAAAAACUCCGGUGGUAUGAGAUGGACCCGCGUCUGAUUAGCUCGUUGGUGGGGUAACGGCCUACCAAGGCAACGAUCAGUAGCCGACCUGAGAGGGUGACCGGCCACAUUGGGACUGAGACACGGCCCAAACUCCUACGGGAGGCAGCAGUGGGGAAUAUUGCACAAUGGGCGAAAGCCUGAUGCAGCGACGCCGCGUGAACGAUGAAGUAUUUCGGUAUGUAAAGUUCUAUCAGCAGGGAAGAAAAAAUGACGGUACCUGACUAAGAAGCACCGGCUAAAUACGUGCCAGCAGCCGCGGUAAUACGUAUGGUGCAAGCGUUAUCCGGAUUUACUGGGUGUAAAGGGAGCGUAGGCGGUUUUAUAAGUCUGGUGUGAAAGCCCGGGGCUCAACCCCGGGACUGCAUUGGAAACUGUAGAACUAGAGUGUCGGAGGGGUAAGUGGAAUUCCUAGUGUAGCGGUGAAAUGCGUAGAUAUUAGGAGGAACACCAGUGGCGAAGGCGGCUUACUGGACGAUUACUGACGCUGAGGCUCGAAAGCGUGGGGAGCAAACAAGAUUAGAUACCCUGGUAGUCCACGCCGUAAACGAUGAAUACGAGGUGUCGG